GGUGGCUCAGUGGUAGAGUGCUUGCCUUGCAUUCAUGAGUCCCUUGGUUCAAUUCCAAAGCACCA
rfam:Dipodomys ordii contig_31855, whole genome shotgun sequence.